rnacentral:lncRNA from 1 species
CUCUGCUCCCAGCGAGGGACGCUGGCCUUCUCGCGGCUUUCCCCCGAUAUCUCUCUUUAUUCCAGCUGCCUGAAACUCGGUCCCACGAAUGGCAGGCAGCGUCCAAAAUUCAACCCCGUAAAGCCAGCACCAGCCAAUAAAGCGCACGGAUGGAGGCCACGUGACAGCAGUGGGCCGGCCCUCCGGCUGAGCCCUGAUCUCUAUGGUUUCCGCGGCUCGCUAGAAGGAGUGUGGUCCACCGGAGGACUCCCUACAUUCUUCCUCCAUUACCUCACUGCCUCCGGUGGCUGCUGGGAUACCGGAGGACUCGGGUCCCGGCUCGACUCAGUCCUCCAGCCGCCCGGGGAAUACCUCUAGUUCUUCCCGGCCGCCGCCGCCGCCGCCGCCCCGCCGCUUCCUCCUCCGCCUGCCGGCCUCCUUCGCCCCGUCCCGUCCGCGCAGCGCGUCCGGCCCGCCCGCAGGCCAGCUUCUCUCGGGAGCCCCCACCCAGGCGCAUGGCUCCAUGAAGCAAGAGGAGGAGGCAGAGCGCGAGAGGUCCCGUCCGCCCCAGCCGCGUCUGGGCCAGGAUAAAAGCAAAACCAUAUUCCUGCUGCUGUCAGUUAUGAUGCACUGAGAAAACUUCAGAGACCUAAACUUUUUCCAGAGAAGAGAAGCUUUACUGGUGUUCCAGCCCUAAGAAACCUUUGUUCAAGAAAACGGCAGAUGCUCUGUUGAAUCCACUGGAGAUUGUUCUGAUACUAAGGACAAGUAUCAACCAUCUUUCCUGUGAAAAAUUCCCUCUCGUACUUUAGUUCUGUGGAUCCAAAAUUUAUAGCAUUCUUCUACCACCACAGGGGCUCAUAUGACAUUAACAGACAAGACACUUUUCAGAAAGACAGGUUGUUCUUUUGGGCCACAUCUAAGAAAUCUUUGUCUAGCCAAAAGCCACAAAUAAUUUCUCAUUUUUUGGCUUCUGGAAGAUGUACAGUUAAAUGUUAUAUUUGGGACUGUUAUCUAAUUUGAUUAAAUUGCACUCUACAAUAUGAUAUUUGAAUUGAUGAAAAAUUAGUAAAUGUUAAUAUUUUUUAAAGUAGCCAAAUCUUGCAAUUUAUAUAUAAUAGAGAAGACUAGAAAAUCCCCCAUAUUUAUUUCCUCUUACUUCGUACUACUAAAAUUUGUAUUUAGGCAUUUGGUUUCUCAGAUAAACAUUACAUUCCCCAGUAUAUGGUUCUAUCUGGCUUGGUGACGACAUGUUGAACAUUAAGAUGUGAGCAGAAGUAAUACAUACACACUCUUUUUCAUGUCUUUAAUUGAAUGGGAUAUUGGCCCAUUUUUUCUUCCAGUUUAUUACACUGAAUAUUGACAUGUUAUUUUCCAAUAUUGAGACAAUCAAUGACAAGACUUUAAGAGUAACAAUGUAAAAAUACAGAAGUUGUCUGAGUUUAUCAACAAUCCCCUGGAUUAGAACCCCCUACCAGUUCUAGGUCAUCUAAUAUAUAGACAUUGUGUUCAGUAGAAAUAAAUAUAUAUAUUUUUUAUUAUGCUUUAAGUUCUAGGAUACAUGUGCACAACAUGCAGGUUUGUUACAUUGGUAUACACGUGCCAUGUUGGUUUGCUGCACCCAUUAACUCAUCAUUUACAUUAGGUAUUUCUCCUAAUGCUAUCCCUCCCCCUGCCCCCACCCCCCGACAGGCCCUGGGGUGUGAUUUUCCCCACCCUGUGUCCAAGUGUUCUCAUUGCUCAAUUCCCACCUAUGGGAAUACAUUUUUAAAUCAUUUUUGAAGGUGUUAUUACAUUCUGAUUGAACAUUUUCAGAAAGAAUAAAUCAUUUAAUACAAGAAGUGGGCCACUUCAUGUAACAAAACAAACCACCACUACAGCAACAACAACAAAAAACACAAAUGAAUGUGACUUUAGCUUUGCAACAUCGUGACAGACUAGCAAGUUAAUGACAUUUGUUAUGCCAUAGAAAAUAUUUGUUGAAUUGCCACUCUAAUGACUUUAUAUCAGCCAACUCAUUAUCAACACUAGAAAAGAUGAUUAAAAAAUACUUCAGUACGUUCACGUGUUGGCUUGUUAACAUUUUUAAGAGUCUAUAAGAGAAAAAUGCAUCCAAUCUCGACAAAAAUAUUUUUCAAGUAUCUUGUAGGUACGUACAACUAACUACCUUGUGAACAAAAGUCACUAUAUAAUUAUAUAAUUUCUGACACUUAAAAAAGAUUAUUGUGCAAAAGAAGAUAUAUGUUCUAAUACCAAAUCCACAUAUAAAAUAAUUGACUUAUUUAAAUAAUUUAAGAUGCUCUUUUAUAUAUUUAUAUUAAAAACUUUACAGAGAAUAAAAAAAGCAUUAU